rnacentral:lncRNA from 1 species
CGGUGGAACCACUGAGCUAAAUCCCCGGCCCCCAGCUCCACUGUUAACUAGCUGUGUAAUCUUGGGCAAACCACAUAACCCUUUGUUAUGGUCUGUGUCUAGAUGGGCCCCCAAAGCCUCAGGCAGUCAUAAGUGGGGCUUUUUCAGAGGUGGCUGGAUCUAGAGUGUGUGAUGCUGGGAUUGAGGGUGUGUGUUACUAAAUCAGUCCACUGAGUGGUUUGGCACCGGCCUUAUCCCCAGUAGUCUGGAUAAGACAAAAGGGCCAGAAAGAUGCUGUUAAGGUCCAUGGUUGCUUUUGCUGUCUUCCACCACCAUGAACUGUUGCCCCUCUGCCGUGUGCCACCCUGCCUUGGAGCCAGCAGAUUAUGCACUGAAACCUCUACAAACUGAGCUAAAUAAACCUUUCCCCCUUUAACUUUGGGGGUCAGGUAUUUUGUCUCAGCAACGAGAAAGUGACUACCACAUCCUUCAGGCACUGUUUUGACACCAACAUCUCUUUGCACCUCCUCUAGGCUGGAAAAGAGACACCAUGCCCUAUUUGUGUGGAAUUCCUCGAGCUAUCGUACCUUAAGUUCAAUUCCGUCCCUCCAAUGGAGGGUAGGUUGACAGACAACUUCAUAACGCAGGGAAGGACACGUUUCAUGGAGAGUUAGUGAUUAUCCCAUCAAUCCUUUCUGGACUCAGGGUCAGACUUUCUUCUGUGUACCAAGCUUUAUAAAUGAUGUAAACAUACUGGAGAUAAAAGCAGCCUCUGUCUGCCUCCUGUCUCAUUUCCUGUCUACUCCUGAGAGCCAGCUCAACAGCAAUGAAGGGAAAGCUAUUUGUAGAGUGCACGGGAGGAAAAUAAAUGCAAAGAGGCCCUUCCUAAGCGGUUGCGCUCAGCUCUCACUCUUUCUAGCAGCAAGAGCUUUAUGAAUGCCAGGCGAUAGAACAUGUACUUUGGUACCCAUUGGUUGGGACAGUUGGUAGCUAUGAAAACUGCUGUGGACUCAGUGAUGCCUUCGGGUUGGGAAAUGCUGCCCUGAGAAGCCACUGUCACCUUGUGACUGGCAGUGCUUCCUUGAUGAAGAGGACUAGGCCAGUGCUUGUCAUCAUAACUCGUACUUUACUUCGGAUCCCCUUCCCAGGAACAACUCGUCCUUAAUUUUUAAAGAUGGCUCACUUUAAGUCUCCUGCCUGCCUGUUCACCUUCUUAUCAGUGACAGCAACAAACAAUUAAUGAAAUUUUAAAAAUGUCUUACUGCCUGAAAUUACAUCUUCCAAUUAAAAAGUAACAAAGGCUGCAUCCCUCCUCUGUUCCCUUCCCUGGCUGAAACAUCUUGACAUCUGCUUCUGUCUCCAGCCUUGACUAAGACCAAGCUUAUGGAAAAACAGAAUAAGUCAUACACUUCUAUUGGGGACACAUGAUGACCAGUCUGAUUUCAGAAUCACUACGCUCGCAGCUUCCAUCCCCUGGACUCUACCUAUGCAUUGAAAUGUCCCCUCAUGGACACAGAGGGCUUUUAAGGUCUUUCAGCUGUGCAUUAGGAUAAUUGGGGCAACCAAAAAGUACUAAAUGGAUGUCAUCAAAAUUAAAAACUAUUAUUUUAAAAAAUUGAUCCUAGGGACUAAACCCACAGCCUCAUGCAUGCCAAGACAAGCUCAGAGCUACACCACCAGCCCAAACUAAAUACUUCUGCUCCUUAAAAGCUACUGGUAAGAAAAAGAAGAAACAAAUCACUCACGGACUGGGGAGAAUUAUUUACCACACAUAUAUCAAAGUCAGGAUAAACUCAGGAAUAAAACUAAGCACUUCACAAAGAAUAAAGGUAAAUGGCCAAUAAGCACAUGAAAAAGUAAGACCCUUAGUCAUUAAGGGAAUAAAAAUUAAAACCAAAUUGAAAUACCUGCUAAAAUGACUAAAAUUUAAAGACGACCAUCAUCAAUGUUGGAAAGGAUUCCCAUUCAAUUCUAGUAGGAACAUAAAAUGGUGCAACCAGUUUGGAAGUUGGUCUGGCAGUUUCAUGUGAAGUAAAACAGACCUACCAGUGAACAAAAACCCUACUUCUAGGUUUUUCUGAAGAGAAAUGAAAAUAGACAUAUACCAAAAGGCUUACAGCUUUGGUAAUAACAGCCCCUAACUGGAAACUACAAAUGUCCCUUAAUUAUAGAAUGGAUACAUAAAUUAUAGUAUAUCCAUGCAAUAAAAUUCACUUCCAUAAUAGAAAGGAAUGAGCAAUUGGUUCAUACAACAACAUGGAUGAAUCUUAAGAACAUGAAACUGAGUGUGAGAUCACACAUGAAAAAGUGCCCACUGUGUGAUUGUACUCAUAUAUAGUUCUAGAACAGGCAAAUAAAAUAUGGAGGAAGGAAUCAAC